rfam:Nomascus leucogenys chromosome 7b, whole genome shotgun sequence.
AAAUAGAUAGGUUUGGUCCUGGCCUUUUUACUAGCUCUUAGUAAGAUUUCACAUGUAAGCAUCCCUGCCCCAGUGAAAAUGCCCUCUAGGUCACCCGGAUCAAAAGGAACAGGUAUCAAGUAAGCGUGAAUACAGCUCAAAACAACUUUGCUCAGCCACACCCCCACGGGAAACGGCAGUGAUAAAUCUUUAGUAAUAAACGAAAGUUUAACUAAGCUAUACUGAUAUUUAGGGUAGGUCAAUUUCGUGCCAGCCACCGCGACCAUAUGAUUAACCCGAGCUGACAGAACUCAGCGUAAAGAGUGCUUAAGGUCUACCCUCAAUAAAGCUAAACUCCAAAUGAGUUGUAAAAAACUACAGCUGAAAUAAAAUAUACUACGAAAGUGGCUUUAAUACCCUGAAGACACAAUAGCUAAGACCCAAACUGGGAUUAGAUACCCCGCUAUGCUUAGCCCUGAACUCUAAUAGUUACAUUGAGAAAACCAUUCGCCAGAGUACCACAAGCAACAGCUUAAAACUCAAAGGACUUGGCGGUGCUUUAUAUCCAUUUGGAGGAGCCUGUUCUAUAAUCCAUAAACCCCGAUACAACCACCUCACCACCUCUUGCCCGCAGCCUAUAUACUGCCAUCUUCAGCUAACCCUAAAAAAGUUAUAGAGUAAGCACAAGUACACACAUAGGAACAUUAGGUCAAGGUGUAGCCUAUGAGGUGGCAAGAAAUGGGCUACAUUUUCUAUAUCCAGAAAAUCUCACAGGAACCUUUAUGAAAUCUAAGGGCUCACGGAGGAUUUAGUAGUAAACCAAGAGCAGAGUGCUUGGUUGAAUAAGGCCGUGAAGCAUGCACACACCGCUCAUCACCCUCCUCAAAUAUUACUCUAGAAAUCACUAUUACUAAAAACUUUCUAUCCACGUAUACAGGAGAUAAGUUGUAACAUGGUAAGCGUACUGGAAAGUGCGCUUGGACAAACCAAAGU